rnacentral:rRNA from 1 species
UACGUAGGGUGCGAGCGUUGUCCGGAAUUAUUGGGCGUAAAGAGCUCGUAGGCGGUGUGUCACGUCGGCCGUGAAAACCUGCAGCUUAACUGUGGGCGUGCGGUCGAUACGGGCAUGCUGGAGUUCGGCAGGGGAGACUGGAAUUCCUGGUGUAGCGGUGAAAUGCGCAGAUAUCAGGAGGAACACCGGUGGCGAAGGCGGGUCUCUGGGCCGAUACUGACGCUGAGGAGCGAAAGCGUGGGGAGCGAACAGGAUUAGAAC